AGAGAGACAGAGACAGAGAGAGAGCUCAAGCCCUCAACCUCAGGCCUGUGGUUUUAUAUGCAAGUUGUGGUCUUAAAAAAAGAAGCCUAGGACACUGAAAAUUCGGCCAACCAGAAAAUUCUGGUGAAGCAAUGGCUCUCAAUUGCUCUCUGGCCUCUGCUUUCCAGUUGGUGGGCCUACAAAAAUAUUGAGUCAGACACAUAAUAAUUCACCACAGUUCCAUAGAGAGAGAGAGAGA
rnacentral:misc_RNA from 1 species